GAUGAACGCUAGCGGCAGGCUUAAUACAUGCAAGUCGAGCGGUGCAGUUUGAAGCUUCGGUGGAAAGCUGCAUAGCGGCGGACGGGUGAGGAAAACGUAGGAACGUGCCCCUUGGAGUUGGAUAGCCACGGGAAACUGUGGGUAAACCGACAUAGACUCGAGAGAGUAAAGGCCGAAAGGCGCCAAGGGAGCGGCCUGCGGCCCAUCAGGUAGUUGGUAGUGUAAAGGACUACCAAGCCGACGACGGGUAGCCGGUCUGAGAGGAUGGCCGGCCACAAGGGCACUGAGACACGGCCCAGACUCCUACGGGGGGCAGCAGUAGGGAAUUUUCGGCAAUGGGCGAAAGCCUGACCGAGCGACGCCGCGUGAGGGACGAAGGCCUUCGGUUGUAAACCUCUGUCUGGGGGAGUGAGAACGGACGGUACCCCCGGACGGAAGCCCCGGCUAACUACGUG
rnacentral:rRNA from 1 species